rnacentral:rRNA from 1 species
GAGAUAACUCCUACGGGAGGCAGCAGUGGGGAAUUUUGGACAAUGGGGGCAACCCUGAUCCAGCAAUGCCGCGUGAGUGAAGAAGGCCUUCGGGUUGUAAAGCUCUUUUUUCAGGGAAGAAACGGUAGUAGCUAAUAUCUAUUACUAAUGACGGUACCUGAAGAAUAAGCACCGUCUAACUACGUGCCAGCAGCCGCGGUAAUACGUAGGGUGCAAGCGUUAAUCGGAAUUACUGGGCGUAAAGCGUGCGCAGGCGGUUGUGUAAGUCAGAUGUGAAAUCCCCGGGCUCAACCUGGGAAUUGCAUUGGAGACUGGACGGCUAGAGUGUGUCAGAGGGGGGUAGAAUUCCACGUGUAGCAGUGAAAUGCGUAGAUAUGUGGAGGAAUACCGAUGGCGAAGGCAGCCCCCUGGGAUAAAACUGACGCUGAUGCACGAAAGCGUGGGGAGCAAACAGGAUUAGAAACCCUUGUAGUCCUCCACU